CAACCUGCCCUUGACUCUGGAAUAACAGCUGGAAACAGCUGCUAAUACCGGAUACGACCUCCGAUGGCAUCAUCUGGAGGUGGAAAGCUCCGACGGUCAAGGAUGGGCUCGCGGCCUAUCAGCUUGUUGGUGAGGUAACGGCUCACCAAGGCUUCGACGGGUAGCCGGCCUGAGAGGGCGACCGGCCACACUGGGACUGAGAUACGGCCCAG
rnacentral:rRNA from 1 species